GAUGAACGCUGGCGGCGUGCCUAAUACAUGCAAGUCGAGCGAACGGACGAGAAGCUUGCUUCUCUGAUGUUAGCGGCGGACGGGUGAGUAACACGUGGAUAACCUACCUAUAAGACUGGGAUAACUUCGGGAAACCGGAUCUAAUACCGGAUGAUAUUUUGAACCGCAUGGUUCAAAAGUGAAAGACGGUCUUGCUGUCACUUAUAGAUGGAUUCGCGCUGCAUUAGCUAGUUGGCAAGGUAACGGCUUACCAAGGCAACGAUGCAUAGCCGACCUGAGAGGGUGAUCGGCCACACUGGAACUGAGACACGGUCCAGACUCCUACGGGAGGCAGCAGUAGGGAAUCUUCCGCAAUGGGCGAAAGCCUGACGGAGCAACGCCGCGUGAGUGAUGAAGGUCUUCGGAUCGUAAAACUCUGUUAUUAGGGAAGAACAUAUGUGUAAGUAACUGUGCACAUCUUGACGGUACCUAAUCAGAAAGCCACGGCUAACUACGUG
rnacentral:rRNA from 1 species